CCUACGGGGGGCAGCAGUGGGGAAUCUUCCGCAAUGGGCGAAAGCCUGACGGAGCAACGCCGCGUGAUCGAAUGAAGGCCUUCGGGUUGUAAACUUCUUUUAUCAGGGACGAAGCAAGUGACGGUACCUGAUGAAUAAGCCACGGCUAACUACGUGCCAGCAGCCGCGGUAAUACGUAGGUGGCAAGCGUUAUACGGAUUUACUGGGUGUAAAGGGCGUGUAGGCGGGAGUGCAAGUCAGAUGUGAAAACUAUGGGCUCAACCCAUAGCCUGCAUUUGAAACUGUACUUCUUGAGUGCCGGAGAGGCAAUCGGAAUUCCGUGUGUAGCGGUGAAAUGCGUAGAUAUACGGAGGAACACCAGUGGCGAAGGCGGAUUGCUGGACAGUAACUGACGCUGAGGCGCGAAAGCGUGGGGAGCAAACAGGAUUAGAUACCCGAGUAGUC
rnacentral:rRNA from 1 species